rnacentral:rRNA from 1 species
AGAGUUUGAUCCUGGCUCAGGAUGAACGCUAGCGGCAGGCCUAACACAUGCAAGUCGAGGGGUAAUCCCGCUUUCGGGCGGGAACGACCGGCGCACGGGUGAGUAACGCGUAUGCAACCUACCUUUAACUGGGGGAUAGCCCGAAGAAAUUCGGAUUAAUACCCCAUAUAACUAUAGAUAAGCAUUUAUUUAUAUUAAAAACUCCGGUGGUUAAAGAUGGGCAUGCGUAACAUUAGUUAGUUGGUGAGGUAACGGCUCACCAAGACUACGAUGUUUAGGGGGCCUGAGAGGGUGGUCCCCCACACUGGUACUGAGACACGGACCAGACUCCUACGGGAGGCAGCAGUGAGGAAUAUUGCGCAAUGGAGGCAACUCUGACGCAGCCAUGCCGCGUGCAGGAUGACGGCCCUACGGGUUGUAAACUGCUUUUAUACAGGAAGAACUUUCCGCACGUGUGCGGGAUUGACGGUACUGUACGAAUAAGCACCGGCUAACUCCGUGCCAGCAGCCGCGGUAAUACGGAGGGUGCAAGCGUUAUCCGGAUUUAUUGGGUUUAAAGGGUGCGUAGGCGGGAUAAUAAGUCAGUGGUGAAAUACUGCAGCUCAACUGUAGAACUGCCAUUGAUACUGUUAUUCUUGAGUUCGAUUGAGGUAGGCGGAAUGUGUAAUGUAGCGGUGAAAUGCUUAGAUAUUACACAGAACACCGAUUGCGUAGGCAGCUUACUAAGUCGACACUGACGCUGAGGCACGAAAGCGUGGGGAGCGAACAGGAUUAGAUACCCUGGUAGUCCACGCUGUAAACUAUGAUCACUAGCUGUUGGCGAUACAUCGAUCAGCGGCAAAGCGAAAGCAUUAAGUGAUCCACCUGGGGAGUACGGUCGCAAGAUUGAAACUCAAAGGAAUUGACGGGGGCCCGCACAAGCGGUGGAACAUGUGGUUUAAUUCGAUGAUACGCGAGGAACCUUACCUGGGCUUAAAUGCAGAUUGACGUUUCGGGAAACCGGAAUUCUCUUCGGAGCGAUUUGCAAGGUGCUGCAUGGUUGUCGUCAGCUCGUGCCGUGAGGUGUCGGGUUAAGUCCCAUAACGAGCGCAACCCCUAUCGUUAGUUGCCAGCGGAUAAUGCCGGGGACUCUAACGAAGCUGCCGGUGUAAACCGAGAGGAAGGUGGGGAUGACGUCAAAUCAGCACGGCCCUUAUGUCCAGGGCUACACACGUGUUACAAUGGUCGGUACAGAGGGCAGCUACCUGGUGACAGGAUGCUAAUCUCGAAAGCCGGUCUUAGUUCGGAUCGAAGUCUGCAACUCGACUUCGUGAAGCUGGAAUCGCUAGUAAUCGCGUAUCAGCAACGACGCGGUGAAUACGUUCCCGGGCCUUGUACACACCGCCCGUCAAGCCAUGGAAGCUGGGGGUACCUGAAGUCUGUAACCGCAAGGAGCGGCCUAGGGUAAAACUAGUGACUGGGGCUAAGUCG